rnacentral:lncRNA from 1 species
UGAGGUUGGGGAAUGGAGGUGCCUCAGGGGAGGAUAAGGGCUCUGAGGCUGGAGGGGAGAGGAUGAAUCUCAGGCAUGACAAGCACCUCCACCUAAUAGCAGUCAUGAGGCUUUUGUGAGGAGGCAGAAUUCCAAGUGAGGAAGAAGUGCCGCGGCUGAGUUGUGAGUUUAGGUCACUGCCUCAUUCGCUGCCUGACUAUGGAUGGCUUACCAGGGCUCCCCAAGCCCCGGGCCGUGGACCAGUACCAGUCCAGUGGCCUGCUGGGAACUGCUCCACACAGUGGGAGGAUGGAAACUGAGGUGCAGAGAGUUUGACCCACCCAGCGUCAGCCAGCCAACAGUAGUGGAUUGGGGA